UAAUUUCGUCAAGUGCUAAACACAGUAAAAGAGAUGCGUUCUCUCUUUCUCUAUGAAAUGCACCUCAUGGAGUAGAGUGAAACAGGUGAGUCAACCGCGGGUGCACCGUGGACCCUCGGAAGAUCGCUCUCCAAUCCGUAGUCCAUCCAUAGUCGGUGCUCCAGAUCUUCAUCAUGAUCGUACACAAACUCCGGCAGCUCACUCUCUCUCACUGCUCCCACAGAUAAUCAAUUCUGCUGAUGUACCUUAACUUCCCGUACAACCUGCCGCACACAAUAACCAUCCUCCCCAAUCAGUUUCGUGGAAAUGGAACCCAAACCACCCCUAUCUGCUUAAGUUAGUGAAAACGAGUAUGGAAAAGCUAAAAUAAGCUGCGAGAAUACA
rnacentral:lncRNA from 1 species